rnacentral:rRNA from 1 species
AGUGAACGCUGGCGGCGUGCCUAAUACAUGCAAGUCGAACGGAGUGGCGCACGGGUGAGUAAUAUAUAGCUACUCUGCCCCUUGCUGGAGGACAACAGUUAGAAAUGACUGCUAAUACUCCAUAGCAAGGGAUGAGACUAUAUCGUAUAAGCUAGUCGGUGGGGUAACGGCCUACCGAGGCUAUGACGCGUAACUGGUCUGAGAGGAUGAUCAGGCACAUGGGAACUGAGACACCGGCCAAACUCCUACGGGAGGCAGCAGUAGGGAAUAUUGCGCAAGGGGGGAAACUCUGACGCAGCAACGCAGCGUGGAGGAUGAUACUUUUCGGAGAGUAAACUCCUUUUGUUAGGAAAGCGGUACCUAACGAAUAAGCACCGGCUAACUCCGUGCCAGCAGCCGCGGUAAUUC